AGUGAACGCUGGCGGCAGGCCUAAUACAUGCAAGUCGAACGGCAGCACAGCAGAGCUUGCUCUGUGGGUGGCGAGUGGCGGACGGGUGAGGAAUACAUGGGAAUCUGCCCAGUCGUGGGGGAUAACGUAUGGAAACGUACGCUAAUACCGCAUGCGCCCUACGGGGGAAAGUCGGGGACCGCAAGGCCUGGCGCGAUUGGAUGAGCCCAUGUUCGAUUAGCUAGUUGGCGGGGUAAAGGCCCACCAAGGCGACGAUCGAUAGCUGGUCUGAGAGGAUGAUCAGCCACACUGGAACUGAGACACGGUCCAGACUCCUACGGGAGGCAGCAGUGGGGAAUUUUGGACAAUGGGCGCAAGCCUGAUCCAGCAAUGCCGCGUGC
rnacentral:rRNA from 1 species